AUUGAAGGCAAAACAAUAAAUAUAGAAAUAUGGAGGAAAAACACGAAGAAUAGAUAAACAUGAAAGGCAAACACAAACAAAAGAGAAAUACGGGAGGCAAAACACAACUGAUAGAAAAAUAUGGGAAGCAAAACACAAAAAAUAGAGAAAUAUGGAAGGCAAACACACAAAGAAUAGAGAAAUAUUGGAGGCAAAACACAAAGAAUAUAGAAAUAUGGAAGGCAAAACACAAAGAAUAGAGAAAUAUGGAAGGCAAAACACAAAAAAUAGAGAAAUAUGGCAGGCAAAACACAAAGAAUAGAGAAAUAUUGGAGGCAAAACACAAAGAAUAGAGAGAUAUGGAAGGCAAAACACAAAGAAUAUAGAAAUAUGGAAGGCAAAACACAAAGAAUAGAGAAAUAUGGAAGGCGAAACACAAAAAAUAGAGAAAUAUGGAGGCAAAACAAGAAUAGAGAAAUGGAGGCAAAACAUAAAGAAUAGAGAAAUAUGGAAGGCAAAACACAAAGAGUAGAGAAACAUGGAAGGCAAAUCACAAAGAAUAGAGAAACAUGGAAGGCAAAACACACAGAAUAGAGAAAUAUGGAAGGCAAAACACAAAGAGUAGAGAAAUAUUGGAGGCAAAACACAAAGAAUAGAGAAACAUGGAAGGCAAAACACAAAGAGUAGAGAAACAUGGAAGGCAAAUCACAAAGAAAGAGAACAUGGAAGGCAAAACACACAGAAAGAGAAUAUGGAAGGCAAAACACAAAGAGUAGAGAAUAUUGGAGGCAAAAACACAAAAGAAUAGAGAAAUAUGGAAGGCAAAAACAGACAUAAGCAAAUAUGGCAAAACACACGAGAAAUAUUGGAGGCAAAACACAAAAAUAGAGAAAUAUUGGAGACAAACACAAAGAAUAUAGAAUAUGGGAGGGAAAACACAAAAAAUAGAGAAAUAUGGAAGGCAAAACACAAAGAAUAGAAAAAUAUUGGAGGCAAAACACAAAGAAUAGAGAAAUAUGGAAGGCAAAACACAAAGAGUAGAGAAACAUGGAAGGCAAAUCACAAAGAAUAGAGAAACAUGGAAGGCAAAACACACAGAAUAGAGAAAUAUUGGAGGCAAAACACACAGAAUAGAGAAAUAUUGGAGACAAAACACAAAGAAUAUAGAAAUAUGG
rnacentral:lncRNA from 1 species